rnacentral:rRNA from 1 species
AGCAGCCGCGGUAAUUCCAGCCCCAAUAGCGUAUAUUAAAGUUGUUGCAGUUAAAAAGCUCGUAGUUGAAUUUCGGGGUUAGUAGGUUGGUCAUGCCUCCGGUAUGUACUGAUCUCACUGAUUCCUCCUUCCUUAUGAACCGUAAUGCCAUUAAUUUGGUAUUGCGGGGAAUUUGGACUGUUACUUUGAAAAAUUAGAGUGUUUAAAGCAGGCUAACGCUUGAAUACAUUAGCAUGGAAUAAUGAAAUAGGACGUUCGAUCUUAUUUUGUUGGUUUCUAGGAUUGACGUAAUGAUUAAUAGGGAUAGUUGGGGGCAUUAGUAUUCAAUUGUCAGAGGUGAAAUUCUUGGAUUUAUUGAAGACUAACUACUGCGAAAGCAUUUGCCAAGGAUGUUUUCAUUAAUCAAGAACGAAAGUUAGGGGAUCGAAGACGAUCAGAUACCGUCGUAGUCUUAACCAUAAACUAUGCCGACUAGG